GCUUCUGUAGCGCAGCCGGUAGCGCAACUGAUUCGUAAUCAGUAGGUCAGCGGUUCGAGUCCGCUCAGAAGCUCCA
rnacentral:tRNA from 1 species